CUGGGUGAAUAUGUUGUGUGUUAUAAAUGUCUGUAUUAUUUUCAAUGUUUCUCUAUUCAUUUCCUCUUCAGCGAUAUCCAGCACCGCCGGAUCAGGACAAGGUGCAUGGCCAGAACGGCAAAAGGGCCCCAAUGCUCAAGAAAUGCUAAAGAACGGCUAGAAUACCGGGACUAUUGCCGGCAGCAUUCGAUAUCCAGCACCGCCGGAUCAGGACAAGGUGCAUGGCCAGAACGGCAAAAGGGCCCCAAUGCUCAAGAAAUGCUAAAGAACGGCUAGAAUACCGGGACUAUUGCCGGCAGCAUUCGAUAUCCAGCACCGCCGGAUCAGGACAAGGUGCAUGGCCAGAACAGCAAAAGGGCCCCAAUGCUCAAGAAAUGCUAAAGAACGGCUAGAAUACCGGGACUAUUGCCGGCAGCAUUCGAUAUCCAGCACCGCCGGAUCAGGACAAGGUGCAUGGCCAGAACGGCAAAAGGGCCCCAAUGCUCAAGAAAUGCUAAAGAACGGCUAGAAUACCGGGACUAUUGCCGGCAGCAUUGUAAGUACUGACAAAGUCUCGUCAGACUCAACAGUUAAUUAGCUUAAAAAGACAAUUAAGCAAUUUAAAGGGAAACAUUUGUAUAAAGACCACUCAAGGCAGGCAGUCUUCAUGUACAGGUUCCUUGAGUUCACAUUCCAAUGUCAAACGCUUUUCAAGGAAACCGAAAAUGCGGUCAUUAUAGACAGGU